UUUAUGGAGAGUUUGAUCCUGGCUCAGGAUGAACGCUGGCGGCGUGCCUAAUACAUGCAAGUCGAGCGAACGGACGAGAAGCUUGCUUCUCUGAUGUUAGCGGCGGACGGGUGAGUAACACGUGGAUAACCUACCUAUAAGACUGGGAUAACUUCGGGAAACCGGAGCUAAUACCGGAUAAUAUUUUGAAC
rnacentral:rRNA from 3 species